rnacentral:rRNA from 1 species
UGGGGAAUAUUGGGCAAUGGGCGCAAGUCUGAUCCAGCCAUACCGCGUGAGUGAAGAAGGCCUUCGGGUUGUAAAACUCUUUUGUUAGGAAAGAAAUACAGCGGGAUAAUACCUGGUUGCGAUGACGGUACCCAAAGAAUAAGCCCCGGCUAACUUCGUGCCAGCAGCCGCGGUAAUACGUAGGGGGCAAGCGUUAUUCGGAAUUAUUGGGCGUAAAGCGUGCGUAGGUGGUUUUUUAAGUCCGAUGUGAAAGCCCCCGGCUCAACCGGGGAGGGUCAUUGGAAACUGGGGAACUUGAGUGCAGAAGAGGGGAGUGGAAUUCCACGUGUAGCGGUGAAAUGCGUAGAGAUAUGGAGGAACACCCGUGGCGAAGGCGGCUUCCUGGUCCCAAACUGACGCUGAGGCGCGAAAGCGUGGGGAGCGAACAGGAUUAGAUACCCUGGUAGUCCUAAACUCAAACGAAUUGACGG